AUGUCUCUCCCUACCCCCCUCACUCCCCAGAGCCCUGAGGAUGAUGACAGGAAGGUGCGAAGGAGAGAAAAAAACCGAGUUGCUGCUCAGAGAAGUCGGAAGAAGCAGACCCAGAAGGCUGACAAACUCCACGAGCAACACCCAACCGUACGAAUCCAGCUGGGAAUAAAGAACCACAUCAGGAAAUUUACAUAAGAUGACCAGCCUGGCGGGAGACUCGGCUGGCAGGCUGGCAGGCUCAGCAGUUGGCUAUGCGUUAUAGAACUCAGUAAUGACUGAGGGAUGAAGAAAAGGAAGGCCUGCUCAUCAAGUGAGUGGAUGGCUUAAAGCUGUGUGAGAUCACACAUCCAUGGCAUGAUACAAUGGAAAUUUUAAAAGAUUUGGUUGUCCAGAAAAUACCCAAAGGAACGGAGUGAAAUGCAGUGGAGACAGAUGGCAAGCUCCGUACUUGAGCUCCAAAGCAUCCAUCACUGUCCAAGGAUAGACAGAGAUGCAGCAGGUGCAGAUGAAGCUUGCACGUCUGUGUAAAAGCAGGGAGAAUCCCCAGUGACUUGGGACCAGCACGAGGGAGGCCACCGCCACACAUUUGCCCUCUGCACGGUUGCCAGAUGAUGCACUGCAUUCUGGGAGUAACAUUUUCUCAGAGAUUCUUGCAGUGUGGAGCAUCAGGGAGGGUCUCUGCUGGCACAGAGGUACGAGAAGUCCUAACACAAGGAACUCAGGACCUGCGACGCUGAGCUCAGAGAAUACCUAAGGGGAAGUGGUAUGGGGCUGUCUCCUAACAUUUCAAGAAUGACGAUAUGAGAAGAAGUGUUGGGUUUACUCCAUGGCAGGGGUGGAGAACCUUUUUUAUGCAAGGGCCAUUUGCAGUCAAAUGCUGUACCGCUGAGCUAUACCCCCACUGCGAUGCAAGGGCCAUUUGGAUAUUUAUAACAUCACUCAUGGCCCUACAGAAUUAUUAACUUUAAAGUUAGCUGGUUAUAGAUUUCUUGAAUUUUGAGUCCUGCCUGAGGCCGCCUUGGCAGGAGCAGACCAGAUGGUUUGCUGGGCCUUGCAUGGCCUACAGGCUGGGUGGUUCCCACCCCUGCAUGGGGUUCCACUAGGCAGAACCAAGCUCAACAGGUGGGUUUGCAAGAGAGAUGAUUUGGGGUCUGUACAAAGAAGAGCUUUCUAACACAGCAGCUCAGAAAUGACU
rnacentral:lncRNA from 1 species